UGAGCGGCAGGCAAUUAUGUUAGGGAUGCUAUUGUAGCAGUCUCCUUUGAGAAGGAGUACUUCAACGGGUCGACCUGUUUGAGGCGUGUCUGUCCAUUAGGUUCAACGAUUCUCUAUUCUGCUUAUUGAACCACGAUUUCCAUGGGACAGAUUGGAACAUUUUGCAUCACUAGUACUUAUCUUCUGGAGACUCUGAUUAUAUGGUGUUUGAGAUUUUUUUCAAAGUUGUAUAGUAUAAAAUUCGCAAGGCAUAAGUUCAGAUUGUAUAUUUGCAAGGCAUAAGAUCGGAAUAUGCUUUAAGUUGUAUAGUAUAUAAUUCGAAUGAUAGGAAACGUUUCU